UGCUGAGGAAACUUGGGUGAUGCCCAGCAGAUUUGCAGGUUGCGGAGUGGAGAGACAGGGGAGCGGAGGGGAAGAGAUCUAGAGGCUGAAGAAAGAGGAAGAAACGUAACUCGGUGGUUCUUAACUGGGAGUGGCUGUACCCACCAGCGGAGGGUGAUGUCUGGAGACAGAUCGAUCUAGUCGUCACAACAGGGGGAGGAGGUGCUACUGGCCUCUCGUGGGUCAAGGCCAAGGAUGCGGCUAAGCGCCCCACAGUGCCCAGGACAGCCCACCAUACGGAAUGGCCCGGCCACAAAUGUCAGCAGAAGCCCUCACGAGAGGGCCUUGGUACCAAAGACUGUACGUCCCAGACCGCCUCCCUUUCGAUAACCGCUGUCUAACCUUUCCUCUGGUGGUGACAUAGUGGCUUGUGCAGCUUUAGGAGGUUCCAGGUACCUGGGCGCGGUGGGUGGCGCUAUUGACAAGAGCUCCCUGGGCGCUGGUAGCUGCUCGCGCCAGCCGGGCCUUGCUGUUUGCAUUCUUGCUAACUCAGCUCUCACUACUGAGGGUGGCAUCUUGCUGGCCAGAAACUGUCCUUUGAGGGCUCGACCCCACGUGGGCUGCUUUCCAUCUUUGCAUGAAGCUGGUGGGAGUGGAGCACAGAGGAACUGGGUGGCCCCUCUGCCUUGCCUGACUUCUGCCUGUCUAGGAGGAAUGUGAGGAUAUGGCCCUAAGUGGUGAGGAAGAGAAGCUGGAGCAGGAGCGAUCAGUGAGGGAGAGCGCGGUCUGGACAUUCCAGGAAGCACGUGGACCAGGACUCAAUGGGAGCUGACAUCUGAGCUAUGCACCAGGCACUGGCAUUUCCUUCUCCCUUCCACCCGUGUCAUCCUGUGAUGGGUCCAGGGAAGACCCUUCUCUCUUUAAGACUGCCCUUGAUGUAAAUUUUAGCCAGGUGUCACCUGAAGCGGAAGGAUGAGGAUCGGUGUGAGCAUACACAGACGGCUGAGGCUACAGGUUCGAGAUGUCCACUGGGGCCGCAGUUUGGAAAGUACGUGCUGACAUGGCAGCUGAGAACCAAAACCCCUUCUGAGCCUGUGGUCAAACCCUCCUAAUAAGAAGAGAAACUGAGAGUCUCAGGCCGCGUGCUGGGAGAGCCGCACGGUCGGGCAAGGGGCUGGGGGUGGGGGAGGCGCCAGGAAAACUCUGAAAAUUCUGCACCCUGUUUUGCUUUCACUCACCUAGAUUUAGAAGAAUCCUCUGGCAAAAUGAAACUGAACUCUUACUUCCCCACUGAUGGUCUCCCGGUGACGGCAUAGACACUCUUGUCCUUGGUGGUAGAUCUGGAUGCUUUGGGUGUCGGCUUUGUCAAGGUUUAAUUUAUGUACAAUAAAAUCCACCAAUUUGAAGUGUACCAUUUAAUGAGUUUUGACAAAUGUGUACAGUCCUGCAGCCACCACGAUCAUGACAUAAACCAUUUCCAUCGUCCCAACAGUUCCCUCGUCUCUCUCUCUCUGGGUAAUCUCCUUCUUCCACCCCCAGCUCCCGGCAACCCCUGAGCUGCUUUCCAGCACUGUGGUUUGGCUUUUUCUUUUUAUGAAUUGUAUGUGCAUAGAAUCUUACAGCAUGUGGUCCUUUAUGUCUGGCUUUUGAAACUUAACGGAGUGCUUUUACGAGUCCUCCACACUGUUGUGUUUCAGUCGCCUGUUCGGUGUGGAGACGUGACAAUUUGUUUGACCAUUCACCAGUUCCUGGAUGUCUGGGUUGUUUCCAGUGUUUGGAGACACCGAAUAAAGCUGCUAUAAACAUUCAUUUACAGGUAUUAACGUGGACAUAUGUUUUCUAUUUUUGUGGUAAAUACCUAUAAGUGGAAUUACUGGG
ensembl:lncRNA